rnacentral:pre_miRNA from 1 species
UUAACUCAGAUCUCUAUGGAGUUGGAAAGUUUGCCUACGUUUCCCACUAGGGGCGCUGUUCUAACUGCAUAGCAAUUUGAGUUA